rnacentral:rRNA from 1 species
CCUGAUCCAGCCAUGCCGCGUGUGUGAAGAAGGCCUUCGGGUUGUAAAGCACUUUCAGUGNGGAAGAAAGCCUUGGGGNCAAUACCCUCNAGGAAGGACAUCACCCACAGAAGAAGCACCGGCUAACUCCGUG